UACGUAGGCAGCGAGCGUUGUUCGGAGUUACUGGGCGUAAAGCGUGCGUAGGCGGUGUCUUAAGUUUGUUGUGAAAUCUCCCGGCUUAACCGGGAGGGUGCGGCGAAUACUGAGAUGCUGGAGUGCGGGAGAGGUAAGCGGAAUUCCUGGUGUAGCGGUGAAAUGCGUAGAUAUCGGGAGGAACACCAGUGGCGAAGGCGACUUCCUGGCCUGUUCUUGACGCUGAGGCGCGAAAGCUAGGGUAGCAAACGGG
rnacentral:rRNA from 1 species